GUUGGAUUUACCAAGGAUUUACUGACUUAACCCAGGCCAGAAAGUGACUGAAUCUACACUCUUGAACUAAAAUCUAAGUUAUCUUUACUAAGGUCACAUUAAGAACCAUACUUCCACAGAGUGAGCUGGUCUGGGCUCAGUGGGCUCUCAAAAUAUUAUAGGAUUUAAAUUCCAUUGCCUCUUAGAUAAUUACCUAGAAAUUCUUUCCAAGAAAAAGAGCUGUUGACCUCAUACCUCUGCCUGUUGUUGUCCCACUUUCAGCAGGGACUAUGUAUUGGAUUCAUACCCCCAAGGAGGACUUGUGGUAGUUUGAGCUGGUGGUGGUUGACCCUCUGUACCAUAAAGUCACUUUGGCUUCACCUUUCACAGUAGCAGACUUCCCUAAGGAAAAGCCCGAUCAAGGCAAAGUGGAAUAGUAAUCCAAUGGAAAAAUAAACCACUUUUAAAAAACUUUCUCAUUUUGGAAAAAAUGCAAACAUAUACAAAAUUAGACUAGAAUAAUGAACCCCCAUAUUCUAGCACCAAUAAUUAAUGAUUUCUGUUCAUCCAUAAAAUGUCAUACACACGCGUGCGCGCGCGCACACACGCGCGCGCACGUGUGGGUAUGUGCAGUUGUAAGUUGUUUAAAGUAGUUGGUCCUUUUUAUUCACAGAUUUCAUAUUUGCAAGUUUACCUACUUGCUUAAACUUAUCUUUAACCCCACAAUCAGUACCUGAAGUACUUUCAUGGUCAUUCGUGGACCUGCACAGAUUGGCCAAGCACUCAAUGUUCUCAGUUGAGUUUGGAUAAAAUGACACACUGUCUUCUUGUUUUAGCUCUUAUGCCAUAUCUUUUUCAUAGUCUAUCUAAUGCCACAUUUUAUGCCUUUUGUUGAUGAUUUCACUGUUUAAAAUGGCCCCUAAUCAUUACACUGAUAUGUUGUCUAGUGUUCCUAAUUGCCAGAAGUGAUGUGCCUUAUGGAGAAAAUAUAUGUAUUAGAUAAGCUUCAUUUAGGCAUGAGUUAUAAUACUUUUGGUUGUGAGUUCAAUGUUAAUGAAUCAACAAUAUGGUACAUCCAGAAAAAGGAAGAAGAAAUUUGCCCGUUAAUAUGUGAGGCUUGGGGCCGGAGUUGUGGCUCACUGGUAGAGCACUUGGCUAGCAUGUGUAAGGCAAUGGAUUCAAUCCCCGGCAUCACGUAAAAAAUAAAGUAAAUUAAAAAUAAAAUAAAGUAAAGAUAUUGUGUUCAUUUACAACUAAAAUAAAAUAUGUGAGCCUUCUCUGGGAAGAGAUAAGAUACCAUCUUUAGUGUGAGAUGAAGCUGUGAAAUAGAUGGAAAAGCACCUAAAUUAAUGGGUUUAUGAGAUGACUGAUUUUAAAAAGCAGAGUGGAGAGCACUGUUGUGUGGCUGAAAACUAAAGUCAUUUAUGGUCAUGCUACCUGAGAGCAGGAAAAAUUUAAACC
rnacentral:lncRNA from 1 species